UUGAAUGGCCGUUUAUGUAUGGGGUGAAGUGAGGUGAGAAGAAAAAGUGUUAAUGAGUGUGGAAGACACUAAACUUGUGACUAUAAUAUAUAUGUAUAUAUCUAUAAUACACACACAUAUGGGUAUAUAUAUGUGAUCAAUUGCAUGUCUUCAUGCAAGUGUGAGAGAAAGAGAAAGGAUAAAAAGUCUGUGUGAGAAAGAGAGUGAAAGGGAGUAAGAGAAAAAGAAAGAUUAAAAAGACGGAGUAAGACCUGAACAUGUAUGUAUGUAUAUGUGUGUGAGAGAGAAAGAGAGAAGUUAGUUGGUUUAUGAAACGUGUUGAAGCUAAGAGCAAACUGAACUUCUAUGAAGUAGACUAUAAAAGUAGAAAAUACACCAAUCAAAAUAUAGUGAAGCUGUCUGGAGAGAGAAAAGAUCCUUAGUGUUCAACCCUGUGACAGCAGAAAGCAGAUAUAUCCAAAAUUCCAUUACCCUUAUCUGUGGAAAGUAGUUUUAUAAACCAAUCCAGCGUUCUUUGUGGAAUGUCAUGUUUGAAGCUAUUUUCUGUUGAGAUAAGUCAAGUAUGACUUACAGAAAGUAUCAAUUUUAUUUUUUUGGUAGAUAAUUAACAUCAUUGCUGGAAGAACCAUAAUGUUUAAUUCCUCAGUGAAAUGGUUAAUAAAUAGAUGCUCUAUGACAGCUGAGAGUGUUGGGCUACUGAGAGGUCAACAUUUUGUCUGUUCUUCCAGGUAGUGAGCAAUGUCUAUGGGAAAAUAGAGGAAGCAGUUCUAUGACUUUAGAAAACCUUCUUCCAAGAUUGGCGAGUCUAAUGUUGAAGAUGUCUAACCUGAAAAAUCUACAGAAAAAUCAAGGGCCAAGAGAGAAUCAUGAUUUUGGUCUGAACACUUGCACCAAAGGGUCAUAUGGUGGUCAUAGUGGUGGUGGUGGUGUUGCUUUGCCUCACAAAAAGUUCUGACCAAUCAGACCUCUGGUCAAGACAUUUCAGCCUCAGUCAUCCCAUCAUUACAGAAAUGUACUUGCAAAGCAAGUGUUUUGAUCUAAGAUCACAUGCAGAGUCUAAAGUGAUUGCAGCAUGGAAGAUAAAAGAUAACCAUUCAGAAACACAGGAAGACUCUUAACUUCACUUAAAUAUUUAUUUGUAAUAUGGUGUUGAAAUUUUUGCCAGCGAACAGGUUGCAGUUUUGAGUGGUGAAAAUUUUGUCAUCCAAUUACAAAUAAAUGUUUAACCCUUAGGAGAUGACAGAGCCAAUCUAGCGUCUGAAAAGUCAAAUGGCAAAGAUUGUAUUAGUUCAUUCAAUUUCCUACAACAAUAUGUAUAGUUUUAAAUAUGUAAAGUAAUUACUUUAUUUUUUAUAAUUUUUAAAAAAAUAAGUGCAUGCAUACUGUAGGGCUUGUGAAAAGGGAUCAGUCUUCUUGGCACUGAAACUCCAAGCAAGGCUCCGUCUCCAAAGGGUUAAGUAAAGUUAAUGGUCUUUGUGUGUUUCUGAAUAGUUAAUUUAUAUCUUCCACACUACAAUUACGUUCUAUCAUUUAUAUUUUUCACACAAUGUAUUUGAAACUACCAUACACAUUCUAAUGUGUCUUCUUAGCAUGUUGUAGAAGGCAUCUAAAAUAGUUGCUAUCAGAAAUGGUAUGUAGUUGCAAAACACUGCAUCAAAAAGUCCCAUAUAAGCCAAGUCAACAUGAAAAAGCAGAUGCAAAAAGCAAUGUUGAUGUACCUAGCACUACAUUAUCCCAUAUAUUUUGCCUUUUCUUAAAACUUGUGAUUUGAAGGAUGUUUGGUUACUACUUCUUGCAGGUUGAAUGAUCAUGUAGAGGCUCUGUAGUUGGAUCUUGGUGGUGUUGAACCCAUGUGGGAAGACCUGCUACACAAACUAAAAGCACCUAAAGACCAGGUGGUGAUGCUAAACUGAGAAAUAUGUGAGGCCUGUCACUGAAAUUGGUUUUACCAGUCAUGACAGAAUGCUAAUCUUCAUAGUUCAUGUUCUGGUAGUUGAUUGCAAUUUAUUAUUAAUGUAUAGUUCUACAUUUUAGAGACUGGUUAUUUCAAUUUCCUCAGCAACUACAAUCAAUGGGCACUUCUGUUGUAAUAAAUCAGUGCAGAGUUAGACAUAUAAUAUAACACAGAUUUGAUAUAUAUGUAUAUGUAUAUAAUCUACAAGUGCUAAAAGCUCCAUUGACAGCAAUCACAGCAUGAUCAAUAUAUUACACCCAACAGACAGAAUCACUUGAACUAUGGAAGAACAUAAAACACAGGAGGCCAACAAAGUGAUGUAAACAUAGCUGUUUAGUUUGCAAUCAUGCAGUUCCAGGUUUGAUACCACCAACUGGCACUCUGGCAAGUUGUCCUCUGCUAUAGCUUUAUGUUGACCCAUGCAUUGUAAGUGAAGAUUUUUGCAAGAACAUUGCAGUUGGCCACCAACAUGGAAACAAGGACGUUAAAUGAUGAUGAUGGUGAUGAUGACACAAUGUCAUUCUAGAUAGGGUUUGAAUAAAAGACAACCUGGUAGGGUUUAACAAACAUAUCAUCCAGUUUACCACAAGUUACCAUUCUCAGAUCAUUUGAUUGGUAAUUUAGAGAACUGAGACUGACAGAAAUGAUUUCACUGCUGAAUGGUGCAAUGAAAUACCUGCAGUGGAUUUGAACCCACGACAUAUUGGUUGUCCAAUUAUCAUAUCCGUUCAAUUAUUUCAUAUUUAUUAUAACCAGUAAUGUUGAAGAUGGGUUGAUUUUUGCAUAGAUCAAAAUUUGAGGUUUGUGCCAGUUGUGGGUGAAAUAGCAGAAUAUGACCCUAUGGAUAUUAACAUAUAGGAUUUGGAGAAGGGCUGGCUCCUUGACAUAUGUCACACAGGCCCACCAAUAUGUGGACAUGCUCAGAUGUCACAUUAACCAGUUUCCUUACUUAAUGGUUAAAUUGGCCCCAUGCCUCAAGGGUAAGCUUGGAAGAGUAGGAGCCUGGCUCAAUUAACUGCAAAUAUACUGGCAAAAGGUAACAUGAAACUACUUAUGUAUCUAUUGUUCCUAAGAAAAAUCAUGCAUCUUCAGACUUUGGCAUGGAAAUCCAUAAUCACCAAUGCCUGUAAAACAAACCUGGUACACAGAGGGAGGACUUAUCCUUGACACACUAUUAUGAAGAUGAUAUCUAACAUUACAAAACACUUUUUCUUAUGAGAAGGGUCACAUCUUCAGGUAAGUUUUGUUAUGUGCAGAGAAGAAAUGUAAAUCAGUCACCCAAUAAAUAAUAUAACACACUU